UCAUCAUGUAUCAAAUUUUCCUACAAAUCAAACUGCUUCACGCAAUCACCUCAUCUCAAUCUCAUCAUUAAACUAAACCAAAAGCCAUCACCCACCACUAUAUAUAUCUCUCUUCACAUCCCCUCAUCACCACCACACUACAAACUCUUGCUGUCCAAAAUGAGCUUACUUAAAUCCCUCCUUUCCUUCCUUGUUGCUACCCUUUACUUCACCUUUGCCGAUGCGGCCACAUUUGACAUAACCAACAAAUGCCCUUACACAGUCUGGGGAGCUGCCUCUCCCGGCGGUGGCAAGGAACUCAAAACCGGUGAGACAUGGACCAUUAGUGCUAAUCCUGGAACUACCGAAGCACGCAUUUGGGCUCGUACCAACUGUCAAUUUGAUGCUUCUGGGAAAGGCAAGUGCGAGACUGGUGAUUGCAAUGGGCUUCUUGUUUGUCAAGGCUACGGUGCAGCCCCUAACACCUUAGCCGAAUACGCACUAGACCAGUUUGAACACCAAGAUUUUAUCGAUAUCUCUGUGAUUGAUGGGUUUAACGUUCCUAUGGAGUUUAGUUCAGCUUCAGGAAGCUGCACCAGAGUGAUCAAAUGCACUGCUGAUAUUAUUGGGCAAUGUCCUAAUGAAUUGAAGGUCCCUGGAGGGUGCAAUGGUCCAUGCCCCGUCUUCAAGACUGAGGAGCAUUGUUGCAAUUCUGGCAAAUGUAGCCCUACAAAUUACUCCAAGUAUUUCAAGGAAAGGUGCCCGGAUGCUUAUAGUUACCCGAUGGAUGACCCUAAAAGUCUGUUUACUUGCCCUACUGGCACUAACUAUAAGGUUAUAUUCUGCCCUUGAAGCAAAUUGGAGUAUUAAUUAAUGGAAGUAUUUUAUAGUUAUACCAUAAUUUAGUAAUAUGGGAGCUCAAUAUGGCUAGCUUCUUGAGCACAUGUAGCAUUGUGCAAAUGUUUGUAUACUUUUGAGCAUCAAUAAAUGUUGAGUACGAGUGACUAUUAUAAUAAUAAAUUAAUUUACAAAUUAAAA
rnacentral:misc_RNA from 1 species